GACGAACGCUGGCGGCGUGCUUAACACAUGCAAGUCGAACGGAAAGGCCCUGCUUUUGUGGGGUGCUCGAGUGGCGAACGGGUGAGUAACACGUGAGUAACCUGCCCUUGACUUUGGGAUAACUUCAGGAAACUGGGGCUAAUACCGGAUAGGAGCUCCUGCUGCAUGGUGGGGGUUGGAAAGUUUCGGCGGUUGGGGAUGGACUCGCGGCUUAUCAGCUUGUUGGUGGGGUAGUGGCUUACCAAGGCUUUGACGGGUAGCCGGCCUGAGAGGGUGACCGGCAACAUGGGGACGGAGAUACGGCCAGGACUCCGCGGGGGGGCACAGGGGGGGAAUAUUGCACAAGGGGGGGAAGCUUGAUGCCGAAACCCCGCGUGGGGGAGGGCGGCUUUGGGUUUUAAACCCGUUUGCCCCGGUGAGGAAGGGGGAGGGAGGGGAAGGGGUAAAAAAGCCCGGCCAAACCAGGUC
rnacentral:rRNA from 1 species